rnacentral:rRNA from 1 species
AAGCGGCGCAUGCUAUACAUGCAGUCGAGCGAAUCUGAGGGAGCUUGCUCCCAAAGAUUAGCGGCGGACGGGUGAGUAACACGUGGGCAACCUGCCUGUAAGACUGGGAUAACUCCGGGAAACCGGGGCUAAUACCGGAUAAUAUCUAUUUAUACAUAUAAUUAGAUUGAAAGAUGGUUCUGCUAUCACUUACAGAUGGGCCCGCGGCGCAUUAGCUAGUUGGUGAGGUAACGGCUCACCAAGGCGACGAUGCGUAGCCGACCUGAGAGGGUGAUCGGCCACACUGGGACUGAGACACGG